GCGAAGGUGGCGGAACUGGCAGACGCGCUGGAUUCAGGUUCCAGUCCUAGAAAUAGGGUGGAGGUUCAAGUCCUCUCCUUCGCACCA
rnacentral:tRNA from 1 species